AAGGGUAUAGCUCAGUGGUAGAGCACGUGCUUAGCAUGCACAAGGUCCUGGGUUCAAUCCCCAGUGCCUCCA
rnacentral:tRNA from 1 species